ACCCAGUUGACGAGUCCCAACCAAGACGAAACGCGCGUCCCGGAC
rfam:Schistosoma haematobium scaffold2_32, whole genome shotgun sequence.